rnacentral:rRNA from 1 species
GACAGAGGUCCCAAGCGUUUAGGCGGAAUCACUGGGCUUAAAGCGUGUGUAGGCGGACUUCUAAGUACCUUGUGAAAUCCCACGGCUCAACCGUGGAACUGCUUGGUAUACUGGUUGUCUUGGGCCAUCUAGGGGGCUAGCGGAACAAACGGUGGAGCGGUGAAAUGCGUAGAUAUCGUUUGGAACGCCAAUGGUGAAAACAGCUAGCUGGGGAUGUGCCGACGCUGAGACACGAAAGACCCAGGGGGAGCGAACGGGG